AGACCCGAAACCCGGUGAUCUAGCCAUGGGCAGGUUGAAGGUUGGGUAACACUAACUGGAGGACCGAACCGACUAAUGUUGAAAAAUUAGCGGAUGACCUGUGGCUGGGGGUGAAAGGCCAAUCAAACCGGGAGAUAGCUGGUUCUCCCCGAAAGCUAUUUAGGUAGCGCCUCGUGAAUUCAUCUCCGGGGGUAGAGCACUGUUUCGGCUAGGGGGCCAUCCCGGCUUACCAACCCGAUGCAAACUGCGAAUACCGGAGAAUGUUAUCACGGGAGACACACGGCGGGUGCUAACGUCCGUCGUGAAGAGGGAAACAACCCAGACCGCCAGCUAAGGUCCCAAAGUCAUGGUUAAGUGGGAAACGAUGUGGGAAGGCCCAGACAGCCAGGAUGUUGGCUUAGAAGCAGCCAUCAUUUAAAGAAAGCGUAAUAGCUCACUGGUCGAGUCGGCCUGCGCGGAAGAUGUAACGGGGCUAAACCAUGCACCGAAGCUGCGGCAGCGACGCUUAUGCGUUGUUGGGUAGGGGAGCGUUCUGUAAGCCUGUGAAGGUGUGUCGUGAGGCAUGCUGGAGGUAU
rnacentral:rRNA from 2 species